GAGUUUGAUCAUGGCUCAGGACGAACGCUGGCGGCGUGCCUAAUACAUGCAAGUCGAGCGAGUCUCUUCGGAGGCUAGCGGCGGACGGGUGAGUAACACGUAGGCAACCUGCCUCUCAGACCGGAUAACAUAGGGAAACUUAUGCUAAUACCGGAUAGGUUUUUGGAUUGCAUGAUCCGAAAGAAAGAUGGCUUUUCGCUAUCACUGGGAGAUGGGCCGUGCGGCGCGAUUAGCGUAGUUGGUGGGUAACGGCCUACCGAAGGCGACGAUGCGUAGCCGACCCGAGAGGGUGACCGGCCACACUGGGACUGAGACACGGCCCAGACUCCUACGGGAGGCGAG
rnacentral:rRNA from 1 species